rnacentral:lncRNA from 1 species
AUAGAAAUUACAAUACCUCAUAAUAUUUUAAUUGCGUCAAAAAUCGUUCACGUCAAAAUUAGAUAUUAUUAUUCAACUUGAUGUUCCAAAAGUUUUAAGGGCAGGAACCUUCUGCCCCUUCAACAAAGGCACCUCCUAAGCCCAUGGGCCAUGGCCAUGCACACAAGAAAAAUUGCAGAGACUUGGUCUCCUCUUCCUCAAGACAUUAAUUACAAAUGUAGAGGGUCAACAAAGACAUCAAAAAAAUAAAAACUCAGACAAUUCAAAUGCAAGGUACCACAGAGACUACGCAGACUUUCAAACACACAACUUGCUUUGUGCUCGAGACAUGCAGUUGACCCUUGACCAAGGAAGAAGCAUCCUCUUGCAGUUCACAUACUAAAAGAGAAAGAGUGGGGUUCCAGAACUUGUUGCGACCCCAACCAUGUUGGAGGACUUUUCAGUUCAUUCAAUCACAUAGAGUAACAUUUUUUCAAAUUCUUGCAAAGAUUAUAAUUAAUUACAAAGAAAAAUAGCACUUGUUAAAGAAUAGAGACGGGUCACGGGUCACGGGUCACGGGUCACAGUCCACCAUAAAUAACAUCGAUAUUGUCACCAGUUAAUCACCUGUGCAAUUUAUAGGUGUGGAGUUUUUAUGUAAAAUGCCUCAAUUAGAAGUGGAACUCCUUGAUAUAAGUUGUGGUUUUCUUGUGAGAUGGCCGAUGUGAGACUUUUUACUUUAUUCAACAUGCCCCUUCAUGUCGGACCACUUUGGAGUGGGGUCAGACGUGGAGCUACAUCAGUCAUGUUUGUCAGUGAACCUAGUAAUUUAGGCCAAGGUCUGAAAAUCCGCUCUAAUAUCAUGUUAAAGUUUCAGAAAGACAUGUCGCGGUCCACCAUUAGCAGCAUCAACAUUAUCACCACUUAACUACCCAUGCAAUCAAUAGGUGCAGAAUUUUUAUGUAAAAGGCCUCGAUGCAAUUAGAACAAGAACAUUUGAUAUAAGUUGUUAUUUGUUUUGUGAUAUGGCCGAUUUGAGAUAUUUUACUUUAUUCAACAUCACUCUCCUAAUGAACCGGCUUACCUCAUAUAUGUGAUGGAGUAUCUUUCUAACACAAUACGUAUGAUAGUAUAAGGAUCAAGAACCAAACCCAAUUUUAAUUCAAUUACAUAUUUUGAAUAUAAGAAAUAAACGAGGAGUCACAGAGAAAAGUUUGAAAUACAAGUAACUAAAUGUUAAUCUUUAGGGUUAUUCUUUCGCAGUGACUUCCACGAAACUAUAUACCAUUGAUUGAUUACCGUAACUAUUACUUAUUGGCUGCCUUCACAUCUGUACUUGUAAUACUUGUGGAUAAUCACAAUAAAGAUAAAUCAAGUUGUUCCGUGAUGAAUAAUUCUUAACGUAAAUGUAAGUUUGCUCGGUCAAUUAAAACAUCAUGCUGUCCUCUUGCAUCCAAGGUUUAAUCUCUUUUUGUCUUCAAGGAAGGGAGUCACCCAAGGGUCGAAGUUUCAAUCUCUCUUUUCAUAUACUAAAACAUAGUUUCAGGGUGUUUUAAUAGAACCAUACUCGUUUAUUUUAUUCACUACAAAUGAAUAUCUUAAUGAUUUUAAAUUUGUCUAAUUUUUCCAAAGAUAAUCUGUGAGUGAUGUUUUAAAAGGUAGACAGUUCGGAUCAUUGAAAUAUAUUAUAGAGUGGGUCCCACAAAAAUUUGUGUGAAUUUUUUUACAAAAAAAGUGGUGCCUCAAAUACGUUCCCUUCUCAUAUGUCCCAUUUCUCACAUGGUUUGAACUUUUAAUUAAAUUCUAAUCUUCAUUAAAUGAUCGAGUUAGGGUUAGAAAAAUAUGUUAUACGCGUUUGGCCGGCGAUUCUAGAGUGUACAGUUAUCUAGAAUAUAAUAUUUGUCAAUGAGAUUGACUUGAGAGGCAAGGGCAUUACAUUAAAUAAGGAGAUAUAUAAGACUUGUAGAGCUUGAAAUGGUUGACCCAAAAUCUUGGAUCUUUUGUUCUCGAUCAGCAGUGGUCCUUUUGUGAAGGAAUUAAUUAGGGAAGGAAUUAGCAAAAAUUAAGAAAGUUCGUCGUGGAAGGUUAUUGUUGGCUCAAUUAAUAUCCCAAGGUUUAUAUUGAACAAUCUUGGUGAUUUAAGAGAGAUUUUUUAGUGUGUUAGAAACACGGUUUGGCAGCUAAGUGCCAUAAUACAAGUGGUUGAAUAUUUGAUAAAAGAAAUAUUCAAUCACUUGUCUUAUGACACUUAGUGUACUAGGCCAUUUUUUCGAUGAACUAAAAAAUUUCUAUGAUUUUUAGGUUUUUAAGAGGUGUUUGGUUUGCAGGAAAAUGGACUUUGGAAUGGAAAUCAUUUACUUUCUACCAUCAUGGGUAGACGACGCUUCCGCCGCCGCCAUCAUCAUCAUCACCACGGUUGUUGCCACCACGACGUGUUAUUGUCUCCUCCACCGCUGUCACCGCCACUACCCAUUGUCAUCACCGCUACCACUGCUGCCCACCAUCAUGGCCAUCGUCCCCAGCACCACUAUACCACAUUUUCUAACCUAUAUCUCUCAUUUAUAUAUUAUGACUCUAUACACAUUAAAUUCCGUACAGACUAACCAAAUAAGAAUUCACGAAUUCUAGGAAAUAAAAUUCCGUCAUCUCAAUUUUCGUUAUUUUAAAACUCCUUAGUAAUCUUUGAUUACUUCAUCCAAAUGCAAUGCUAGUGUAUCAAGAAUAUUGACACAUGAUAUUUUUGUUAGUACAACGAUAUAUGAUUACUUCAUCUUAUCAAUGUAUGACUCAUUCUCAACACGGCCUCUCACGUGUGGCGACCUUUCAAGCCUAACACGUGGACAAUCCAACAGGGUGACGUGGAGUGCCUGUAGCCAUUUGGCUUCACACGUGGAACAACCUAGCUCUGAUACCAUAAAGAAAGUUGGUGUUCCACUAUAAAACUAAUUGGCGAUAUGCAGAGUAGCUCAACCUCUUAUAAGCCCAUAAAAGGUUCAUCCUUCCAUCAAUGUGGGGCUCAUUCUCAACAACAACUACGUACAUUUUUAUUAUCUAUGAAUAUUUACAUUAUAUAACAUCAAACUAAACUAACAAGCUGUAGCAAAAAAGAUUUGACUGCAAACUAGCUAAUUCCUAAAUAAUUAAGACACUAUUAUAUGUGUGACAACUAACAAGUUGCUGAAGAGUGCAUGUAAAAUUUCUAACCGGGAAGAGAA